rnacentral:rRNA from 1 species
AACGAACGCUGGCGGCGUGCCUAAUACAUGCAAGUCGAGCGAGAAAGUCUCUUCGGAGAUGAGUAAAGCGGCGCACGGGUGAGUAACACGUGGGCAAUCUGCCCUCGAGUCUGGGAUAACCCGGGGAAACUCGGGCUAAUACCGGAUACGGCUGCGGGGUCUUCGGAUCCUGUGGAGAAAGAUGGCCUCUUCCUGAAAGCUAUCUCUCGAGGAUGAGCCCGCGUCCAUUAGCUAGUUGGUGGGGUAACGGCUCACCAAGGCAAAGAUGGGUAGCUGGUCUGAGAGGAUGACCAGCCACACUGGAACUGAGACACGGUCCAGACUCCUACGGGAGGCAGCAGUAGGGAAUUUUGGGCAAUGGGCGAAAGCCUGACCCAGCAACGCCGCGUGUGGGAUGAAGGCCCUCGGGUCGUAAACCACUGUCAGGAGAAAGAAAAGUCGGCCGGGUAAUAUUCGGUCGACCUGACGGUACCUCCAAAGGAAGCACCGGCU